rnacentral:rRNA from 1 species
AAUUGGAGGGCAAGUUUGGUGCCAGCAGCCGCGGUAAUUCCACCUCCAAAAGCGUAUAUUAAAGUUGUUGCAGUUAAAAAGCUUGUAGAUGGUAGUUGGAUGUCUGUUAAUAAUUUAUAUAAAAUAUUUUGAUGAAUAUUUAUAUAAUAUUAACAUAAUUCAUAUUACUAUAUAUUUUAGUAUAUGAAAUUUUACUUUGAGAAAAUUAGAGUGCUUAAAGCAGGCAUAUGCCUUGAAUACUCCAGCAUGGAAUAAUAUUAAAGAUUUUUAUCUUUCUUAUUGGUUCUAAGAUAAGAAUAAUGAUUAAUAGGGACAGUUGGGGGCAUUUGUAUUUAACAGUCAGAGGUGAAAUUCUUAGAUUUGUUAAAGACAAACUAAUGCGAAAGCAUUUGCCAAGGAUGUUUUCAUUAAUCAAGAACGAAAGUUAGGGGAUCGAAGACGAUCAAAUACCGUCGUAUUCUUAACCAUAAACUAUGCCAACUAAAGAUUGGAGGUUG